rnacentral:rRNA from 1 species
UACGUAGGUGGCAAGCGUUGUCCGGAAUUAUUGGGCGUAAAGCGCGCGCAGGCGGUCCUUUAAGUCUGAUGUGAAAGCCCACGGCUCAACCGUGGAGGGUCAUUGGAAACUGGGGGACUUGAGUGCAGGAGAGAAGAGUGGAAUUCCACGUGUAGCGGUGAAAUGCGUAGAGAUGUGGAGGAACACCAGUGGCGAAGGCGAUCAUCUGGGGUUGUUCUGACACUGAGGAGCGAAAGCUAGGGGAGCAAACGGG